AAAGAGCCAUACGGGCAUCUAGUGGUUAAACCAUGGCAUUACAUAGGAUUAUAUUAUAUUUAUUUAUUUAUUUUUUCUGGCCAAACAAAAGUCUCAAAUUUGAUACUUUGCACUGGAAUUUAAAAACAUUUUAUCUAUUUUAACCUAGGGCUGUGCAAAAAAUUAAAUGCGAUUUUCAUGCGCAUCUCAUCAGUAAAGACACUCCUGUAAUUAGUAGUAUAUCUCCAGCACAUGCGUUAAGAUCAGGGUUGCCAGGUUUUCACAACAAAUCCUGCCCAGUUGCUUCUCAAAACUAGCCCAAAACUAGCCCAAUCGCGUUUCCAGGAGGUUCCCCGAUAAAAAAAAAUGCAUCCCGGGGAUAAAAUAUAAGUUUUUUUGACAGGGUUUCCUUGGUAAAAUUUGCAUUUUAGGGGCUAAAUAUCACGUUAUUGGUAUUGGGGUUGCUUCAACCCGCGGACAUGAAAAACAACCGCAGACUUGGCAACACAUGUUCGCGGGCUGAAGUGACCACAAUACCAAUAACGUGAUAUUUAGCCCCUAAAAUGUAAAUAUUACCAAGGGAACCCUGCCAAAAACAUGUAUUUUUAUCGCCCGGAACGAAAAGCGAUUGGACUAGUUUUGAGAAGCAAAUGGGCAGGUUUUGUUUUGAAAACCUGGCAAUACUGAUCUGAACGCACGUGGUGGAGAUAUACUACUAAUCAUAGGAGUGCCUUUACUGAGGAGAUGCGCAUGAAAAUCGCAUUCGAUUUUUUGCACAGCCCUAUUUUAACCCUAAAUACUACGCUAAAUGUACUAAUAUAAACAAUAAGCAUCAUAAAGUUUAAGCACUGGCUCCAAUAUGAGGCUGUUCCUGAGCUUUUCCCAUUCUUAUGCAUGAUGGUGCUCCCAUUGCCAUUCACUCUUUUUCUCCUGCAAACUAUGCAUUGCUUUUGUGUUGGCAGAAAGAAUGCUCUCUGUAACUCAGUUUUGUCUCUGGAGUGUCUCUCUGUCACUCCAAAUUCACAUUUUUGCCUGUUUGGUUUCAGUCCUGACUUUUGUGCUUGUUUUAAUUCUUCACAGAGUCUUUUGUCAUUCUCAUUUUGCGUUUUUCCCCAUAUUAUGUCAUCCAGGAAUACUCUCACACCUGCCACACCAUCGAACAGCUGUUGCACUGUUCUGUGAAAUACCUCUGGUGCCGAAAAGAUACCAAAAGAUUCGUUUACAAACAAGGCACAAUUCAAUGCGGGAUUUUCAAAAAGAUUGA
ensembl:lncRNA